UUUGAAGUCUGACCCAAGAAUGGU
rnacentral:miRNA from 1 species